rnacentral:rRNA from 1 species
CGCGGUAAUACGUAGGUGGCAAGCGUUAUCCGGAAUUAUUGGGCGUAAAGCGCGCGUAGGCGGUUUUUUAAGUCUGAUGUGAAAGCCCACGGCUCAACCGUGGAGGGUCAUUGGAAACUGGAAAACUUGAGUGCAGAAGAGGAAAGUGGAAUUCCAUGUGUAGCGGUGAAAUGCGCAGAGAUAUGGAGGAACACCAGUGGCGAAGGCGACUUUCUGGUCUGUAACUGACGCUGAUGUGCGAAAGCGUGGGGAUCAAACAGGAUUAGAUACCCUGGUAGUCCACGCCGU